GAUGGCACAAGCCACCGUUCAUGCAGGAGCACGUCUGAUUGCAUCCGUUGCCAUAGUAACCAGGCAGACAUUCUGAGACCAAGAACACAACAUACAAUUUUACACAUGAAUCAUCUUUUAAGGGACGUCUACAUGCAGUUUUUCCAAUGAACCCAGGUGUGCUGGUGCAGCCUCCGUGGACGUGACGGUAAAAAUGUCAAAGUCACGUUAUAAUACAGUAAAUGCAAAAAGGUCAAACAAACCUGAACUGCUUCCACAUCACCUCUUGGUCACAAACGUCAACUACCACAAUGAAACCUGUCAUCUCACCUUAUAAACAGACAAUUAAGCGCUGCUCACCAGAUGUCAAAAUUCUGACACACCAACCACUCAAGGCUCUGUCAGGGGGCACUGUAUCCUCCUAAUGUUCAAGACCUAAUUUGAACAGUCCAGUUUGUCCUUUAAAGGGGUCAGUCUCCGGAAGUCGCG